rnacentral:lncRNA from 1 species
UGUAUCUGUGAUGUAAACAGAGAAUAAUUAAACAGUGAAUCACAGUAUUGAGUUAGAGAAUGUAUUAUAUUUAUGAUCUUGCUUAAAAUUGUGAUGGUAGAAGGAAACGUAAUUAUAUUCAUUGAAAAUGAUGAUUCGAAUAAACAACUCGAGGGCAAUUCAAAAUGUGAAUUCGUUCCUAACUUUAAACACUUCAAUGAACCCCCAUCACAUCUAUCUUCCUUCCCUCUCAAUGACUUAACUACACUUAUGCCCUGCUAGCUAUAACUUGAACCUAUAACGGCUUUAUUCAGCUGCCUACUCUAUAUCAUUGCUAAAUGUAGCCUUCUCAUUCUUUCUUCUUACACGAGUAAAUCUAAUUGAAGGUCUAUU